GACGAACGCUGGCGGCGUGCUUAACACAUGCAAGUCGAACGAAGAGCGAUGGAAGCUUGCUUCUAUCAAUCUUAGUGGCGAACGGGUGAGUAACGCGUAAUCAACCUGCCCUUCAGAGGGGGACAACAGUUGGAAACGACUGCUAAUACCGCAUACGAUCUAACCUCGGCAUCGAGGAUGGAUGAAAGGUGGCCUCUAUUUAUAAGCUAUCACUGAAGGAGGGGAUUGCGUCUGAUUAGCUAGUUGGAGGGGUAACGGCCCACCAAGGCGAUGAUCAGUAGUCGGUCUGAGAGGAUGAACGGCCACAUUGGGACUGAGACACGGCCCAGACUCAUACGGGAGGCAGCAGUGGGGAAUCUUCCGCAAUGGACGAAAGUCUGACGGAGCAACGCCGCGUGAGUGAUGACGGCCUUCGGGUUGUAAAGCUCUGUUAAUCGGGACGAAAGGCCUUCUUGCGAAUAGUUAGAAGGAUUGACGGUACCGGAAUAGAAAGCCACGGCUAACUACGUG
rnacentral:rRNA from 1 species